rnacentral:rRNA from 1 species
GAUGAACGCUGGCGGCGUGCUUAACACAUGCAAGUCGAACGAUGAAGCCCAGCUUGCUGGGUGGAUUAGUGGCGAACGGGUGAGUAACACGUGAGUAACCUGCCCUUGACUCUGGGAUAAGCCUGGGAAACUGGGUCUAUUCCUGGAUAUGACUUCCCAUCUCCUGGUGGGGGGUGGGAAAAUUUAUUGGUCUUGGAGGGACUCGCGGCCUAUCAGGUUUUUGGUGAGGUAUUGGUCCACCAAGGCGACGACGGGUAGCCGACCUGGGAGGGUGACCGCCGACAAGGGGACUGAGAGACGGCGCAGACUGCUACGGGAGGCAACAGUGGGGAAGAUUGCACAAUGGGCGCAGGCCUGAUGCAGAGACGCCGCGUGAGGGAAGACGGCCUUCGGGUGGUAAACCUCUUUCAGUUGGGAAGAAGCGAGAGUGACGGUACCUGCAGAAGAAGCGCCGGCUAACUACGUG